AAGUCGUAACAAGGUUUCCGUAGGUGAACCUGCGGAAGGAUCAUUAAUGAAUAAACCGGGUUGUAGCUGGCCGAAAGGCAUGUGCACACCCUUAAACCAAACCAACCACCUGUGCACCUUUUGUAGGUUGGGUCUUCGGGCCCUUCCUAUGUAUCACACAAACCAAAUGUAUGUCUAUUGAAUGUAAUCCGAAGCGUGGCAACACGUUUUAAAACUUAAAACAACUUUCAACAACGGAUCUCUUGGCUCUC
rnacentral:misc_RNA from 1 species